ensembl:lncRNA
CAGCAUAUCAAAAGUCACAGCUGUGUGUAACAUUUGAAUAGAUAGUUACCAACUUCAAUUUCCUCUUAUUUUUGUGAAAUAGGGAAUGCAGGCUUUUGGUUAUAUCAUGCAGCAUGCUGCCACAUGUUGUGAUCAAGAUACAGCCUGCUAUUCUGAAGCAAUUCCCGAAGGAAUCAGGGACUCUGAUUUCCUGCCUUCAUGAGGAUUCAAGGUUCCAUCAAAGGGGGACACAUAGUAGAGUUGAUUAGGAGUUCUCCUUCCGGUGGGUCUGGACGGUCAAGAGACCAGAGGUGGUGGAACGAAGAGCUUAGGAAGGGAUUUAGGGUUAAAGCAUUGCCUGACAGCAGGUAGGGGUAAUCCCUGUCUCUGCUAGGCCAAAAAUGUCAAGGGCUUGUAGGGCAGAAAAAGGCUGACAUUAAUUCAACCUUG